rnacentral:rRNA from 1 species
CCCGAGUUGUARUUUGWAGAGGGUGCUUCRGGCGCGAUGCCGGUCUAAGUUCCUUGGAACAGGAUGUCGUAGAGGGUGAGAAUCCCGUAUGCGACCGGCGAUCAAGCCCGUGCGAAGCCCCUUCGACGAGUCGAGUUGUUUGGGAAUGCAGCUCAAAACGGGUGGUAAAUUUCAUCUAAAGCUAAAUAUUGGCCAGAGACCGAUAGCGGACAAGUAGAGUGAUCGAAAGAUGAAAAGCACUUUGGAAAGAGAGUCAAACAGUACGUGAAAUUGUUGAAAGGGAAGCGCUUGCAAUCAGACCGGUCCGGAGGCGAUCAGCCGCUGCUCGCCAGCGGUGCACUCGCCUGCGAUCCGGCCAGCAUCGGUUUGGGCGGCGGGAUAAAAGUCCCGGGAAUGUAGCUUCUCCCGGGGAGUC